rnacentral:rRNA from 1 species
AGUGACGAGAAAUAACAAACCCGUGCUCUCUGAGCUCGGGUAUUGGAAUGGACGGAAUCUAAACAAUUCCGUGAGUAUCAACGACAGGGCAAGUCUGGUGCCAGCAGCCGCGGUAAUUCCAGCUGUCGUAAUAUAUAGAAUUAUUGUUGCGGUUAAAAAGUUCGUAGUUGGAUUUUCUACUGUUCGUGGGUGAUGCUUAACGGCGUUUACUCUCGGCAGUUUUUGUGUUCUAAUCGGACUUGUUCGAUUUGAAUGCGGAUUACUUUGAACGGCUUAAGUGCUCAAGGCGGGUCUUCGGACCGAAUACCGGUGCAUGGAAUAAUGGAAUAAGGUUUCGGCCGAGUUUUAUUGGUUUUGUCGGCUAAAACAAUGGUUAACAGGAACAGCUGGGGGCACUCGUAUCGCUGCGCGAGAGGUGAAAUUCGUGGACCGCAGCGAGACGCACUAAAGCGAAGGCAUUUGCCAAGAGUGUUUUCAUUAAUCAAGAACGAAAGUCAGAGGUUCGAAGGCGAUUAGAUACCGCCCUAGUUCUGACCGUAAACGAUGCCAACUAUCAAUCAGCGAGUGGCUUUUAGUCAUUGGCUGGCGGAUCGACGGAAACGAAAGUCUUUCGGUUCCGGGGGAAGUAUGGUUGCAAAGCUGAAACUUAAAGGAAUUGACGGAAGGGCACCACCAGGAGUGGAGCUUGCGGCUUAAUUUGACUCAACACGGGAAACCUCACCCGGCCAGUACAUCAUAAGGAUUGACAGAUUGAAAGCUCUUUCAUGAUUUGAUGAAUGGUGGUGCAUGGCCGUUCUUAGUUCGUGGCGUGAGUCGUCUGCUUAAUUGCGAUAACGAGCGAGACUCCGAUUGCUAAAUACGAA